rnacentral:rRNA from 1 species
AUCGAACGCUGGCGGCAGGCUUAACACAUGCAAGUCGAGGGGCAGCAUGGUUAAUAGCAAUAUUAACUGAUGGCGACCGGCGCACGGGUGCGUAACACGUAUGCAAUCUACCUUGUACAGGGGCAUAACUUCGAGAAAUCGGUGCUAAUUCCCCAUAAUAUUGAGAUGUGGCAUCACAUUUUAAUUAAAGCUGAGGCGGUACAAGAUGAGCAUGCGUCCAAUUAGCUAGUAGGUGGGGUAACGGCUCACCUAGGCGACGAUUGGUAGGGGUUCUGAGAGGAUGAUCCCCCCACACUGGUACUGAGACACGGACCAGACUCCGACGGGAGGCAGCAGUGAGGAAUAUUGCGCAAUGGACGAAAGUCUGACGCAGCCAUGCCGCGUGAAGGAUUGACGGCCCUAUGGGUUGUAAACUUCUUUUGUAUAGGAAUAAACCCUCGUUCGUGAACGAGGCUGAAGGUACUAUAAGAAUAAGCACCGGCUAACUCCGUGCCAGCAGCCGCCGUAAGAC